rnacentral:rRNA from 1 species
CCUACGGGCGGCAGCAGUGGGGAAUAUUGCACAAUGGGCGCAAGCCUGAUGCAGCCAUGCCGCGUGUGUGAAGAAGGCCUUAGGGUUGUAAAGCACUUUCAGCGAGGAGGAAGGGUUCAGUGUUAAUAGCACUGUGCAUUGACGUUACUCGCAGAAGAAGCACCGGCUAACUCCGUGCCAGCAGCCGCGGUAAUACGGAGGGUGCAAGCGUUAAUCGGAAUUACUGGGCGUAAAGCGCACGCAGGCGGUUUGUUAAGUCAGAUGUGAAAUCCCCGAGCUUAACUUGGGAACUGCAUUUGAAACUGGCAAGCUAGAGUCUUGUAGAGGGGGGUAGAAUUCCAGGUGUAGCGGUGAAAUGCGUAGAGAUCUGGAGGAAUACCGGUGGCGAAGGCGGCCCCCUGGACAAAGACUGACGCUCAGGUGCGAAAGCGUGGGGAGCAAACAGGAUUAGAUACCCCAGUAGUC